rnacentral:rRNA from 1 species
UACGUAGGGGCCUAGCGUUGUCCGGAAUUAUUGGGCGUAAAGCGUGCGCAGGCGGUGAUGUAAGACAGAUGUGAAAUCCCCGGGCUCAACCUGGGAACUGCAUUUGUGACUGCAUCGCUGGAGUGCGGCAGAGGGGGAUGGAAUUCCGCGUGUAGCAGUGAAAUGCGUAGAUAUGCGGAGGAACACCGAUGGCGAAGGCAAUCCCCUGGGCCUGCACUGACGCUCAUGCACGAAAGCGUGGGGAGCAAACAGG